rnacentral:tRNA from 1 species
GCAGUGGUGGUUCAGUGGUAGAAUUCUCGCCUCCCAUGCGGGAGACCAGGGUUCAAUUCCCAUCUAAUGCA